CAAAGCUACACAGAGAAAUCUUGUCUUGAAAAAAAAAAAAAGGUAGUCGUUUCUACUUAAAUUAUUAUAGGUUCUGCUAAUACAACUUUUAAAGACAAGUGUCAGGAUAGCUUAGCUCUGUUUUUGAUUUAAAGCAAAAUUAUCUGUUUGUUUAACUGACUCUUUCCCAUCCCAGUUUACAGGUAGAAGAGAAGGUCUUGGUUCUCUUCCUCAGUGUUUAAACAGAACAAAACAAAACUGCAGUAUCAGUAGAGCAAGCUGCUGGGGACCAGUGGGCACCUUUGGCAGGAACGCUCCAGGAACACCUUCGCCUCCUACUGCCGGCUGCUGAUUUCAGCACUGCUGCAUGGCCCAGAGUUUUCAGCGAGGCCUGGGGCUCUGCCAGUGGAGAAGCUUUUCAUCUGAUGGUGCUUCCUUCUGACCUGGUGCUCCCGCCUCCAGCUCGGGGAGGCGGUGGGGUGACGGAGUCAAGACAAGGGUGGAAGAGGCCAGGGAGAGAUCAGCUAUGCCCAGGCAGUUACAAUGGGCUCAAACCCCCAGAACAUUUACCUUUUCCGACUGAAUGGCUCUAUAAAAUGGACACCUGCCAUGUUCCUAGCAUGAAUCACUGUACUUCGAGGCACACACAAGUGCAGUGCAGUCACGCCUAGUUGCUCACUGAUGUAUCAGAUCCAACGCUCAGGGUUCAGUGCCUGAGCCAAAUGUUAAAGUUAUUUGUUCUUGUCAAUAAACUAAACUUUACGGUGA